AACGCAAAUUGCACUUUCUGGUAUUCCGGGGAGUAUGCCUGUUUGAGGGUCGCCAAAUAAACAUCGAUUAAACAUGAUUUUGUUAUAUCGGAUUUGAGCUUUCUUUACCCUUUUGAAAUGGGUAAAGUGGCUUAAAAAUUAUUUUCUUUGUGGUAUCAUCGAAAGCGUUAUUUUACGAUCAAUUUUGAUUAAAAAACGUUUUUAAUACCAUCCUUUAACAAUGUAAUACGUUUGACCAUAUGUGUAAUAUGGAUCAUUCGUAUACGAUUAAAUUUUUUUUUUUGACCUCAAAUCAGGUAAGAGUACCCGCUGAACUUAA
rnacentral:misc_RNA from 1 species